CGAAUGGGCGCAAGCCUGAUCCAGCAAUGCCGCGUGAGUGAUGAAGGCCUUCGGGUUGUAAAGCUCUUUCGCACGCGACGAUGAUGACGGUAGCGUGAGAAGAAGCCCCGGCUAACUUCGUGCCAGCAGCCGCGGUAAUACGAAGGGGGCGAGCGUUGUUCGGAAUUACUGGGCGUAAAGGGCGCGUAGGCGGUGCACCAAGUCAGGCGUGAAAGCCCCGGGCUCAACCUGGGAACGGCGCUUGGGACUGGUGCGCUCGAGUUCGGGAGAGGACGGCGGAAUUCCCAGUGUAGAGGUGAAAUUCGUAGAUAUUGGGAAGAACACCGACGGCGAAGGCAGCCGUCUGGACCGACACUGACGCUGAGGCGCGAAAGCGUGGGGAGCAAACAGGAUUAGAUACCCUGGUAGUCCACGCCGUAAACGAUGAGUGCUAGACGUCGGGGGCCUCAGGCCUUCGGUGUCGCAGCUAACGCGUUAAGCACUCCGCCUGGGGAGUACGGCCGCAAGGUUA
rnacentral:rRNA from 1 species